GAUAAUGACAGAAAUAAGGUCACUAGUUCUGAAAGGAUUUGUGCAGGAUCUUUAUUUUCAUGACUAAGAAUUCUGUCUCCCUUUUCCAAACCCGAAGGACUCUCUUAUAUUUAUAAACAAAAUCAAAAUUCUGUGAUUCAGCAUUCCAGGCUUUUCCCAAACUGGUUUCAACUUUUCUUGUUUGAUUUUGUAAUCAGGCCUUCGAUACAACUUCUGUUCAAGCUUUCCCUCAAAACAGAAACUUGCACAUUCCCACUAUUGCACUCUUGUUAUUUUUAUUUUUUUUUUUGUAUUAGAUUAUACACGCAUGGGACUGAGCAUUUAAACACAAAGGACCCUAUUCUGCUAACAACCAGAAGUAAGUGAUAUGGAAGCCAGACCUUAGAAAUGCUCCUAGCAGAAGACAGCCAGGUACAAUCUGGAUAUUCCUUCUGACCCCGCUUAUAAAGGUUGGCUGUGCACUGAACCCGGCCAGUCUGAAAGCUGCUCAGGAGAACCCAUCUACCAGCAUGAUGAAGAGCUGAAACAAUAAAUUUCUCAGAAGAACGGGUGAAAACUGGGAUAUUUUCAAUAAACAUAAUGUUUUGAACCCUUCAGAGAAAGAUGCUACAAAAACAAAUAUUCCUUAAACUCUGACUGAUUUUAUGAAUUGGGCUUUUGAGAAAAAUCUCAAAUCAUUCUGGAAAGCCUGACAAUUAUCAUUAACUUCCACGUGUACAGUAGAACAAUGAAACAAUGCUAUAUUCCACAGGCUAUAUUUCCUUUAUGGAAUUUAACUAAUGGGAUUAACCAACUGAAGAAUUUUUAUUACUGUCUCAAUGUUAUUGGCAUGACAUUAUAAAUGCCUAUUUUAAAAGGAUAUCUAUACUUCAAAAUACCUGGAAAAAGGUGGAUAAAAAGAUUGAAGAGCAUCAUGAAGUACUAUACUGACCAAUUACUUAUCUGAAACUUUUUGGGAGUUGCCACAUCAGAUGAAGAAUGAGA